CCUUCGUGCAAACAUUUAUGACCGGGUCGUGAUGCUGAGACCCAACUCGUAUGUGGAAGUGCUCAAACAUACCCAGUUGGGCAAAGAUCUUAUCUCAGCCAAGUAUCAAUGCUUUGCCCGAGUCCAUAUCCAAUAGCUUAGAAGAAGAUAUCUUGACCCAGUAAGAAACCCUCUAAACAAACGAACCCCAGUUGCCUUUCCUCCUGCCUUGCACCCACCUAUAGCUCCACCUGCCCGUGCUAACCAAUCUUGUCAACAUUGUAGUCACUCACAUGGUGACCUGCCCUGUCGUCAUAUCAAUC
rnacentral:lncRNA from 1 species